UACGUAGGGGGCAAGCGUUGUCCGGAAUCAUUGGGCGUAAAGAGCGCGUAGGCGGCCCUGUAAGUCCGCUGUGAAAGUCAAGGGCUCAACCCUUGAAUGCCGGUGGAUACUGCAGGGCUAGAGUCCGGAAGAGGCGAGUGGAAUUCCUGGUGUAGCGGUGAAAUGCGCAGAUAUCAGGAGGAACACCUGUGGCGAAAGCGGCGCACUGGACCAUAACUGACGCUGAUGCGCGAAAGCUAGGGGAGCAAACAGG
rnacentral:rRNA from 1 species